UGGUCCUAGCCUUGUAAUCAAUUGUUACUUAACUUAUACAUGCAAGUUUCCGCACCCCUGUGAGAACGCCCUUAAACUUCUUUUUGAAGUGAGGAGCCGGUAUCAGGCGCAAGAAUUUGCCCAAGACACCUAGCUACGCCACAUCCACAAGGAAUUUCAGCAGUAAUUAACAUUGAGUAUAAGUGUCAACUUGACUCAGUUAAAGUAAAGAGAGUCGGCUAAUAUGGUGCCAGCCGCCGCGGUUACACCACGAGACUCAAAUUGAUUGCCUUCGGCGUAAAGCGUGGUUAAAGUCUUUUUAAAAUUAUAGUUGUAUUCUAACUAAGCUGUGACACGCUUGUUUACGAGAAGCUCAGAAACGAAAGUUACUAUAAAUCUUCAACUUGAACCCACGACAGCUAGGACACAAACUGGGAUUAGAUACCCCACUAUGCUUAGCCGUAAACUUUAAAUUACACCCGAAUCGCCAGGGAACUACAAGCAAAGCUUAAAACCCAAAGGACUUGACGGUACCCCACAUCCACCUAGAGGAGCCUGUCCUAUAAUCGAUAACCCCCGUUCAACCUCACCAUUUCUAGCCUCUCAGCCUGUAUACCUCCGUCGUCAGCUUACCACGUGAGCGCCAUUUAGUGAGCUCAAUGUCUUUACAUCAAUACGUCAGGUCAAGGUGCAGCAAAUAAAAUGGGAAGAGAUGGGCUACACUCUCUAAUUUAGAUGACACGAAUGACUAUCUAUGAAACCUAGUCGGAAGGCGGAUUUAGUAGUAAAAAGAGACAAGAGAGCUCUUUUUAACUCGGCACUGGGGUGUGUACACACCGCCCGUCACCCUCUUCGAAGCCUAUAUACAGUAAUUAACCCUACUCCGCACCUUAGAAGAGGCAAGUCGUAACAUGGUAAGCGUACCGGAAGGUGUGCUUGGAAA
rnacentral:ncRNA from 1 species